GUAGGUGAACCUGCGGAAGGAUCAUUAAAGAGACGUUGCCCUUCGGGGUAUACCUCCCACCCAUUGUUUAUUAUACCUUUGUUGCUUUGGCAGACCCGGCUUCGGCCCACUGGCUCCGGCCGGCGAGCGCUUGCCAGAGGACCUAAACUCUGUUUGUCUAUAAUGUCUGAGUACUAUAUAAUAGUUAAAACUUUCAACAACGGAUCUCUUGGUUCUG
rnacentral:misc_RNA from 1 species